AUUGAACGCUGGCGGCAGGCUUAACACAUGCAAGUCGAGCGGAGAGAGGUAGCUUGCUACUGAUCUUAGCGGCGGACGGGUGAGUAAUGCUUAGGAAUCUGCCUAUUAGUGGGGGACAACAUUUCGAAAGGAAUGCUAAUACCGCAUACGUCCUACGGGAGAAAGCAGGGGAUCUUCGGACCUUGCGCUAAUAGAUGAGCCUAAGUCGGAUUAGCUAGUUGGUGGGGUAAAGGCCUACCAAGGCGACGAUCUGUAGCGGGUCUGAGAGGAUGAUCCGCCACACUGGGACUGAGACACGGCCCAGACUCCUACGGGAGGCAGCAGUGGGGAAUAUUGGACAAUGGGCGGAAGCCUGAUCCAGCCAUGCCGCGUGUGUGAAGAAGGCCUUAUGGUUGUAAAGCACUUUAAGCGAGGAGGAGGCUACUUUAGUUAAUACCUAGAGAUAGUGGACGUUGCUCGCAGAAUAAGCACCGGCUAACUCUGUGCCAGCAGCCGCCGCUGUAA
rnacentral:rRNA from 1 species